CUCUUCUUUCUUUCAGAAAAGAGCUUCAACGUAUGGAAUAUAUGUAUUAUGUGUUUGUUGGGCACUUGUGAUUUUGCAGACUGCUCAUCCUUUUCUUCCUCAAUUUACAGAAAAUCAUAAUGUUAAAGUUUCAGUUAAUGACAUAGUCAUUAAAGCUGUUGCAGUCGCUCUGAAAAUGUAGCGGAAGCUAAUGCUUAUUGGGAUGUUGAAAAAGGAGAAAUUAUUUUAUGUGAUGCUGUUGAUAUAUCAAUAGCAGUUGCCACUGAGAAGGGACUGAUGACUCCCAUAGUAUAGAAUGCAGAUCAGAAAGCCAUAUCUGCAAUCUCAUCGGAGGUCAAGGAACUAGCUGUGAAGGCAAGGGCAGGGAAGCUUGUGCCAAACUAAUUUCAAGGAGGCACAUUUAGGCUGGUAUCCUUGCUGUUGGUAGGGCAAACGAAGUUGUUGAGCCAGUAAUUGGAAUUGAUGGAACUGAGAAUCCUGCAGUUGUCACAAAGAUGAACAUAACAUUAUCUGCUGAUCAUUGUGUUUUUGAGGAAAAAGUUGCAGGUG